ACGACUCAGCGGUGCGUUCCUUGGCUGGUUCAUCGAUGAAGACUGCAAAUAGCUACGAGAAUCAGUGUGAGUUGCAGGACACACGGGUCAUGGACACUUCGCACUUUCGGGCCCGGGUUCAUCCCGGGGCUACGUCUGUCUGAGUGCUG
rfam:Equus caballus chromosome 10, whole genome shotgun sequence.